CUAUGCCUCUUCUGCUUUUGCUUUUUCUAUUUUAAAAGUUGUUUAACACCGUUUCAAAGACGGACACUGGAGAAUAUUAUUGUGAAGCUUUUAAUGGAGUCGGACUUCCCCAGAAGUGCUCUGUGAAGCGAAUGCAAGUGGACGACCUUAAUGUAAGCGGAAUCAUAGCUGCUGUAGUAAUUGUGGCUCUGAUAAUGGCAUUAUGUGGACUUGGGGUAUUUCAUGCACAAAGAAAGGGCUACUUUUCAAAAGAAAGCUCUUCCGGGAAGAAGAGUUCUGACCAUCCACCUACAGCAAGUGAAAAGG